AUAUAUGGGUGGUGAUGAUAUUUAGCAUCAUCCGGAAAGUCAAGCAUCUAUAUUUGGUCUACGACAAUUUGCCUACUGGUCAUCAAAGAUGCUGGAAUUUUUUCAAAACGCCAACUACACGUGCAAGCUUACUUUGAAGAUGUUCUGUGUGACUAUCCCAUAGCAUGAAUACAUUAAAGUAGACUCCAAGCAUUCUGUGUUAGUAAUUUCUAUGGCAUUCCCUCCUAAGUCCUUUUUACCUGGCUAACCACUGUCUCGGCAUAACUUGACAUGCUUGCAGAUAUUGAACAGCUGAUGGUGCGACAAGAAUCCCAGUAUCUUCCUUGCUGUACAUUUUGAAACAAUUCUUGAACAUACAAUUUCCGUCGUGAAGUGGUACAUCC